GACGAACCGAGCGAACGUUGUUCGGAAUCACUGGGCUUAAAGGGCGCGUAGGCGGGUGCUCAAGUCUGUGGUGAAAUCCUCCAGCUUAACUGGAGAACUGCCAUGGGUACUGGGUGUCUCGAGGAACGUAGGGGUAUGCGGAACGAUUGGUGGAGCGGUGAAAUGCGUUGAUAUCAAUCGGAACUCCGGUGGCGAAGGCGGCAUACUGGACGUUAUCUGACGCUGAGGCGCGAAAGCGUGGGGAGCAAACAGG
rnacentral:rRNA from 1 species